rnacentral:lncRNA from 1 species
CAAAAAGCCAAUCGUCAAGCUGUUGACGGUUGAGCAACUAAGUAUUGUAAUUGAUUUGUUAAUAAAUAAAAUAUAUUUGGCAUCUUCAUCAUAAGCUUUCAUCUUCUAAUGAACUCUGUUGUUAUGAUGAAGUCCUUAGGACUAUUUAGGUUCGAUAAAGAGAGGAUUUAUCGAUUAGUCCUUAAAACUGUUCACGAUCAAAUGAUAGGCUGUUAAUAAGGAUGACAGCUUCUAUCGAGCAUAGGUCGCUGUAGGCCA